AAGCAGCCACCCUUUAAAGAGUGCGUAAUAGCUCACUGAUCGAGCGCCCUUGCGCUGAAGAUGAACGGGGCUAAGCGAUCUGCCGAAGCUGUGGGAUGUCAAAAUGCAUCGGUAGGGGAGCGUUCCGCCUUAGAGGGAAGCAACCGCGAAAGCAAGGGUCGACGAAGCGGAAGCAAGAAUGUCGGCUUGAGUAACGAAAAUAUUGGUGAGAAUCCGUGAGAAUCCCCUCUUUCUUCUAACCACCA
rnacentral:ncRNA from 1 species